AGAGUUUGAUCCUGGCUCAGGACGAACGCUAGCGGCAGGCUUAACACAUGCAAGUCGUGGGGCAGCAGAUCCUUCGGGAUGCUGGCGACCGGCGCACGGGUGCGUAACACGUAUACAACUUACCCUUCAGAGGGGGAUAGCCCAGAGAAAUUUGGAUUAAUACCCCAUGGUUUCUUCGAGUCGCAUGGCUUGAAGAAUAAACGUUUCGGCGCUGAAGGAUGGGUAUGCGUCUGAUUAGCUAGUUGGUGAGGUAACGGCUCACCAAGGCUACGAUCAGUAGCUGGUCUGAGAGGAUGAUCAGCCACACGGGAACUGAGACACGGUCCCGACUCCUACGGGAGGCAGCAGUGAGGAAUAUUGGACAAUGGGCGCAAGCCCGAUCCAGCCAUGCCGCGUGAUGGAUGACGGCCCUCUGGGUUGUAAACAUCUUUUUUUCGAGACUAAUAAGAAGCUAUACGCUUCGAUGCAGGUACCGGAAGAAUAAGCACCGGCUAACUACGUGCCAGCAGCCGCGGUAAUACGUAGGGUGCAAGCGUUGUCCGGAUUUAUUGGGUUUAAAGGGUGCGUAGGCGGUCUAUUAAGUCAGUGGUUAAAGACUGCGGCUCAACCGUAGCACGCCAUUGAUACUGGCAGACUUGAGUGCGACAGAGGAGACUGGAAUGUGUGGUGUAGCGGUGAAAUGCAUAGAUAUCACACAGAACACCAAUUGCGAAGGCAGGUCUCUAUGCCGUAACUGACGCUAAGGCACGAAAGCGUGGGUAGCGAACAGGAUUAGAUACCCUGGUAGUCCACGCUGUAAACGAUGAUCACUAGGUGUUCGGGUUUCGACCUGAGUGCCCAAGCGAAAGCGAUAAGUGAUCCACCUGGGGAGUACGUUCGCAAGAAUGAAACUCAAAGGAAUUGACGGGGGCCCGCACAAGCGGUGGAGCAUGUGGUUUAAUUCGAUGAUACGCGAGGAACCUUACCUGGGCUACAAUGCCUCUGCCAACCCUGGAAACGGGGCCUUCCUUCGGGACAGAGUGCAAGGUGCUGCAUGGUUGUCGUCAGCUCGUGCCGUGAGGUGUUGGGUUAAGUCCCGCAACGAGCGCAACCCCUAUUCUUAGUUGCCAGCACAUAAUGGUGGGGACUCUAAGGAGACUGCCUCCGCAAGGAGUGAGGAAGGCGGGGAUGACGUCAAAUCAUCAUGGCCCUUACGCCCAGGGCGACACACGUGCUACAAUGGACGGUACAAAGGGUUGCGACACAGCGAUGUGAAGCCAAUCUCAAAAAGCCGUUCUCAGUUCGGAUCGGAGUCUGCAACUCGACUCCGUGAAGUCGGAAUCGCUAGUAAUCGCAGAUCAGCCAUGCUGCGGUGAAUACGUUCCCGGGCCUUGUACACACCGCCCGUCAAGCCAUGGAAGCCGGGGGUACCUGAAGUCGGCCAUUAAGCUGCCUAGGGUAAAAUCGGUAACUAGGGCUAAGUCGAAACAAGGUA
rnacentral:rRNA from 1 species